AUUUGUAUUCAAUGUACUCUCGAAACCAUGGAGAUUGCGUGAAUUGCAGUAUAUGAUGAAUCUUUAUAAUGCGGAGAUCGUGACGAAUACAUUGCUGCAGAUUGCGAUAAUGUAUGACGUAACGCUUUUUAUCAUACAAUGUCGCGAGGAGCUUCUCCUCUUGCUUGCCGGGUGGUUUCUCGCGCAUUGGACAAAAUGGUAGACCAGAGUGUGCAUCAUGUUGCGGAUACUCCAAGUCAACCUCGAAAAUGUAACUCGUCGGUCAACCUAACGUAACAUUCAUGACAUCAAAAUUGUCUACGUCAUCGACCCAGGGAAAAUCGGCAUAUGGCAAUGUUGACACAUUGCCCAACCGUACAAGUUAUUGACGUCAUAGUACAUCAGGUCGAUGGUUUCGAUGAAUCGUACGAUUGCAUGUACUUGUUGUUGGCCUGCGCAUAUCUGUUUGAACAUUGACUCAGACCGCCACGUAUAUCACGUUCGAUAAAUAGAACCAUGUCAACGUCGGUAAGAAGUUCGAAAUUGAUGGUAUGUAAAAAAAAUGUGGAAGGGAACACUAUUUAAAAGAAGAGCUCCGGGCAAGUCCGUUCGCAUUAGUCGUUCAGAGAGCUUCAAUAGAGUUCAGACAGCUAUUGCUAAUUAUAAGUUCUCUGAGAAAAUAAAAUAUCUCAAGCCAUGAACUAUUACGUUCCAAUUCAACAGGAUGAGACGUACAAGAGAUAUAUUAAUGUAGCUCAGCAGGCUGAUACCAGCCCAUUGGCUUUGCGACGUGAUUGCGGCGUGAUAGCGACGUGUCGUGUCGCUGAUGGAGCCCACCGAAGGGGAGGGCAUGCGCGCGACUAUGCUGCCUGCGUGUAAACCGCCGCGCUUCACACAGUUGGUUUUCUAGAAGAUUCCGUGUGCGACCUCCUCGCGAAUAACACGUGCACGAAUGGUGCACAAGUUUUAUUACUUAACUUUAUAUUUAUUCAUAAACGACGCGAGUAUAAUUCAAGUAUAAUAAAAAGAGGUCUUAUAUCAAAGCAGGGUGUAUUUCAUUUUUAUCACACUCUGCCAAUACCGACACGGACAAGUCACAAGACAGGAGACACAGAUCUCAGACAAGGAGAAAAUAGCGCAACAUAGCGCAACGGGGACACCAAGGUCCUCUCCCUAACACAUAUUAUACGUUAUGUAUUUUUGUAAGAUCUAUUUACAUGUUUUUUUUUUCAAAAUGUAUUUUCUCAAACAUCGUCUAGUACAUCUUUGAAACCUCGCUAAUACCUUGUAUCUUGAUAAGAAAAUAUGCAUUGACAUCGGCAGCAUAUAAAUUUCUGGACAUUGAGAUCGUUGCAGGAUCUAUAUCUCAUGUGCAAAUUGCGAUUGGUCAUAAUCGAGGCAACUGCAUGUUCAUACUCCUCAUGCUACGUGGAAGAUCUUUAUCGAGAGGCGUGCAGAUAUCGAGCGAUUAAUGCAGUUAGCAGUCCCAUCAUCAUCACCGAUUCAAGAUCUAAAUAUGAAAAUUAUUAAAAUUUAUGAUGAAUAACGUGAAGUUAACAUUAAAUGGCACAUGUUUGUACAUGAAACCAACAACUGUGCUUUUCUUAUUUGAGCUUGAGCAAUGUGUUGAACAUGUAUUCUAUGGACUGAGUCAAUAUACGCACAGUAAGAAUUUCGAAUAUUUUAUGUCAUUUUUAAGAUAAAAUUGUAUUAUUAAUAAAAACGAUG